ensembl:lncRNA novel transcript
AAAAGGCUCUGAAAUGUAAAUCUGUCCUCCUCUUUCUUCCAAACAAAAAAUCCCAUCGCAGAGACAGGGUGGGUUAUUUGGGGGGGCCCUCAGAGAAACUUGAAUUUCACAACCGGGUCAGAAUUGUAACUUGGAGAUAGCACAUGGGAAAACUAUUAUUUUUCUCCAUUAUUUAUUUAUUUAUUGUGUGUGUAGAGGGGGGUGGGGGGUAGAGACAGGGUGUCACCGUGUUUGCCAGGCUGAUCUCAAACUUCUGAGCAGGAGGACUGCUUGAGGCCAGGAGUUAAAGACCAGCCUGGGCAACAUAGCAAGACUCUGUCUCUACAAGAAAAAAAAAAAAAAGCCAGGUAUGGUGGGGCACACCUGUAGUCCUAGCUACUCUGGAGGCUAAGAUGGGAGGAUCACCUGAGCCCAGGAGUUGCAAGCUGCAGUGAGCUGUGAUCGCACCACUGCACUCCAGCCUGAGUGAAAGGGCAAGACCCUGUCUCUUAAAAAAAAAACAAAAAAA